UACAGAGGGUGCAAGCGUUGUUCGGAAUUAUUGGGCGUAAAGGGCGCGUAGGCGGUGCGGUAAGUCUUUUGUGAAAUCUCCGGGCUCAACUCGGAGUCUGCAGGAGAAACUGCCGUGCUUGAGUGUGGGAGAGGUGAGUGGAAUUCCUGGUGUAGCGGUGAAAUGCGUAGAUAUCAGGAGGAACACCUGCGGUGUAGACGGCUUUCUGGACCAUUGCUGACGCUGAGACACGAAAGCGUGGGGUAGCAAACAGG
rnacentral:rRNA from 1 species